CCUACGGGAGGCAGCAGUGAGGAAUAUUGGUCAAUGGCCGGAAGGCUGAACCAGCCAAGCCGCGUGAAGGACGAAGGUGCCCAGCAUUGUAAACUUCUUUUGUCAAGGGACAAAAUCAGGCUCGAGAGCCUGACCGAGGGUACUUGAAGAAAAAGCAUCGGCUAACUCCGUGCCAGCAGCCGCGGUAAUACGGAGGAUGCGAGCGUUAUCCGGAUUUAUUGGGUUUAAAGGGUGCGUAGGCGGACUGUUAAGUCAGAGGUAAAAGCCCGGGGCUCAACCCCGGCGAGCCGUUGAAACUGGGUGUCUUGAGAUGUCGAGAGGUAUGCGGAAUGCGCAGUGUAGCGGUGAAAUGCUUAGAUAUUGCGCAGAACUCCGAUUGCGAAGGCAGCAUACCGGCGGCGAUCUGACGCUGAGGCACGAAAGCGUGGGUAGCGAACAGGAUUAGAUACCCCUGUAGUC
rnacentral:rRNA from 1 species